CAGUCGCCGCGGGAACACGGAGGGUGCAAGCGUUAAUCGGAAUUACUGGGCGUAAAGCGUGCGCAGGCGGUUCGGAAAGAAAGAUGUGGAAUCCCAGGGCUUAACCUUGGAACUGCAUUUUUAACUCCCGGACUAGAGUAUGUCAGAGGGGGGUGGAAUUCCACGUGUAGCAGUGAAAUGCGUAGAUAUGUGGAGGAACAUCGAUGGCGAAGGCAGCCCCCUGGGAUAAUACUGACACUGAGGCACGAAAGCGUGGGGAGCAAACAGGAUUAGAGACCCCGUAGUCCCUGUCUCUUAUACA
rnacentral:rRNA from 1 species